ACGUUUGUCCAUGACUACGGCAGUGGUCAUUGAUAUAUGUGAAGCUUCGUGGAGUAGAUGUGAAAAUUCGUCGUUGUCCGGUUAACACGCUUGCAGAUGCUCCGUUCACUUUGUUCCAUAUAGGGCUCAAAUAUGUGAACAAAUAGAAUGGAGCAACUGUCAUUAGCGUAAUUUUAACGCGUUAAAAUAAAUUAAUUGUUCGUUGCUAUAAAUGAAACUUAAUAGUUGUUGAAACCACUCGAAAGUCGUGUUCCUAAAUCAUUCCCUCGCCUCGUAUCGUGUUCAUCAAAUGGAAAAGGAGAUUGUGUUUUAAUGAAAUCGCUUGUUACUAUCAAUCUUGCUGUGUCACUCGCAUAGGAGAAGAAAAUGAGGAAGGAGAAAAAAAUUAAGGUGUGGCGGCACUCGACAAGCCGAAAAAUCAGCAGUACCCCGGCAGUGACAUCUACAGCCCCCAUCUACAGCGGAACAGGCCUACUAUCUACUACAACUAUAACUCACAACACGGCCACCUCAAAGGAUUUUUCUCUUCGCAGAGAACCAGGUUUUCAAGAACGAUCGAAUAUGUAUGCACUUGAUUUACACGUGAAGUUGUCAUUAAAAAUAUUGUUGCGUUUAAAAAGAUAAA